GCAAUUUGUUGUAUAACUGUCAGUGAUUUUUUUCAAUUUAUUCCUUGCACCCAAAGAUUUAAUUUACAUUAAUUUGUAAAUUAUUAAUAAUAUUUAAGACGCUAUAAAGUGAGUAAAAGCAAUAACAGACGAGAAAAAUUCGGAGUUGCAUGCAUAUGCACGAAGUGGAUACUGUCAAGAAGUAAUAAAGAUCUGUGGAAUACGGGCGGUAGCAUCAAGAUGAGGCUAACGACUUGUAAAAAUAAAAAUUAGAAAUACUUGAGAGAUUAGGACACUCGUAACUUUCCUACAGAGUGUCCCAUAAAAGGCGAGUGUCUUCCUUUAAUGAAACACAUUCCUCACAAAUGUCAGUUCGGGUGAAGUCACGUCGAUGCAAGGGCAUGAAAAUUCUUUCGCAAGAUCCGAAUUAAGGUCAGAAAUCACUAACAAGUCCCGGAAUAGCUCCCAGUAAAAUUUUCUCAGAAAAGUGAUAUUUAUUCAAUAUUUAAUAUACUCAACAAAGAUAAAGAUAAGUAAUUUUUUCUCUAUUUCCAAAUUUUUUUAGCAAAAUUUAUAAAAUCAUAUAUUUUUUUUUCGUAAAAAUAUACGGAAUAGGUAAGCCCUAAUUUUACGACGAAACUUGUGGUCAGUUUGUCGUGUGGCAGAAUCCGCAUAAUGACUGCAGUUUUUUCGUGAUGUUCGAAGUACCAGAUGAUGGGCAAGGUUGUCGCCGCCACUGGCAUACCCGUGCUUUGAACGCGACGAACUUUCACUAUCUAUAGCGGGGCGAACCGGAGCUAAGCCGGAGCUGGGACCGACCAGCCUUGACAUUUCAGCGUCGCACGUUCGCGACAAUCUCCGGACUGCUGCUGCAACACUAACUGGCAUAAAUAAUAUAUUAAAUCGCAAGUACAGUGGCCAAAUUGCACCCUUGGAAGUGCAGAUUUCGAGCCAAGAAGACCAGAUUUGCUCAAUUAUUCGGUGCUUAUCUUGGCGCAAGUUUGGUUCGGAUGUUUGUUUAUGCUUCACAGUUAUGCAAUUGCUGUGAAUUUAUUAAAGCAUUCAAAAUUAAAAUUCGGGUUUAAAUGUCAUACAGUUUUUUACAAAUUAAUUGCCAAGGUUUCGCCGAUUCGUGCAGUUGGAAUGUUGUCAAAAAUGCAACAAAGUGGGUUCAUAGUCCAGGAGGUGGUGAAAAAUUAGUCGCACUUUUUUCCCCGCUAUAUUGUUUUUUAAUCUACUAAUAGCUAAUACGCGUAAUGCAAUAAAUGCAAUAAAAAGGGAGUAAAUAGUACUUGUUUACGGAUGUUUAUAAAAAUAACGAAAUAAACGCGUUGUUCUGGGUUUAAGCUGAGACUCUGUUUUAAAAUGAAAACGAGUGAUUCUGUAACUGACUGUGACACUGAAAAAACUGCGGAAUCUGCAUUUGAGAUGUUGGCUCCUGAGAAACAUAAAAAAACAUACGAAAAAAUAUGUUGAAACUUGAUAGAAAAAAUGUAAUUUUCAGGAAAAUUUUGCGAAAACAAUAACAAUAAACAUACAGUGUUUACUAAAGACUGUUUUUGCAAUAAAUUUAUCCUGGGAAUAAAUUUUUAAAAAUACUUUGUUGUAACAAUUGUAACUAUGGUGAUAAUACCACAAACAACUUAUCCAAAGUUUAUCUGAUGAUUGUAAAAUCCACCCUUAGUAUUACUAACUCAACUGAACCAAAUUAUUCAACACCUACAUCUUUUUGUUUUUGAAAUUAUUCAUUGGUGAACCAAAACCAAAGCGCUGGCUUUAGCAAGCGCAAUAAUUACGGGUCAAUAAGAUAAGCAAAUUAGCAGAACCUUGCGAAGUCUGUUUAAUAUUCACAAAAAACAUUAUUUUUCAGUAAUUGUAUAGUCACGCAUCAUAAAUUAUCCAUGGUCCAAAUAAUGUAAUAUUGUUAAUUACUAUGCAUACUUUUGAAAAAAUUACCACAUAAGAAUUUUAAAUAGGCAACGAUAAAAAAGAUAAAAGUGUUGGUCGUCGUUAAAUAAUUGACAUUUCGUAUUAAAUAAAUUUGCAUAAGUGAAUAAAGAACAUAAAUUUCAACUUAACAGACUACUGUUUGUUUUCCUCUUAUUUUAAAUGCUGCUUUCAAGUUAGUGUUUAAUGUUGAUAUUUUUAUUUCUGUUCUCUACACUCAUUACUAAAAGAAUAACAAUUUGUAGUCAUGAUAGAUAAAAAAUAUUUGUCAUUAGAGGCAAAUAUUUUGUAACUUUUAAUAGCUUGACAACGACAAAACAAGAAAAAAUGGAAAUACUGCAAUAGAUAAAGCAACGAUAAAACAAAUAUUUUGAAACUGAAGACAAAUUGACAUUGGACGAGCAACUUCUUACAUUAUCAAGGUGUCACAGACUUGCACUCCUCUGAAAAUCCACUUUUGUGGGGUUAUUGCCCGAGCAUUUUCGCGCAAACAGUCAAAUCCUAUUCAAAUUCUGCAAUUUCAGUUUAUGUGUUAACAGAACUGUUCUUCCAAGUGUGAAUUAGCCUGGCUAAUUAGCUGCAAACGUGUCAGAUCAGAUUAACAUAAAGAAUUAAAGUAAUAGUUGUGGACGAACGACAACAUUGCACACCCACGCAUCCACCGGAUUGUGUACAUCACAAACAGGAUAAUUCGACGUUUGCUUCAAAUCCUGAAAUUUUAAUUCAAUGGAAUCGAUGCGCGGAGAGGAUAAUAAA